rnacentral:tRNA from 1 species
AAAAUCCGUCGAAUUUUU